CCCAAACCCAAAGGCUGUUCGGGUGACAAAACAACACCCACGCCCACACCCAUUGGGUUCGGGUUUUUUCCACCCAAACCCAAACCCGCAGCACAUUUGAAAAUAAUUUGCAAAUUUAAGAAAUUAAAUUCCAACAUAAACUUUGAAUUAAAUUACAACUAAAAUUAAGGUCUUCCAAGGAAAUUCAAACAUUGACUUUCAAG
rnacentral:lncRNA from 1 species